rnacentral:misc_RNA from 1 species
AAAGUCGUAACAAGGUUUCCGUAGGUGAACCUGCGGAAGGAUCAUUAUCGAGUUAGGGUGCUUUUCGCGCCCGACCUCCCAACCCUUUGUAUACUUGACCUUAUGUUGCUUCGGCAGGCCCGCCGAUCCUCUGACCUUGUGUUGGGGGUAAGGCCGCCGGGGGUGUCUAAAACCACCUCGGGCCCGCGCCUGCCGAUGGCCCAACCAUAAACUCUUGUCGAAACGUGUCGUCUGAGUAAAACAAACAAAUUAAAACCAAAACUUUCAACAACGGAUCUCUUGGUUCUG